CUGGCGGCACGCCUAAUACAUGCAAGUCGAACGAAGUAGCAAUACUUAGUGGCAGACGGGUGAGUAACAUGUGGGUAUCUUCCCUUUGGUGAGGAAUAACACGAGGAAACUUGUGCUAAUACCUCAUAAGUCUUUACGGAGAAAGCUUUAUGCGCCAUUGGAUGAGCCCGCACUUGAUUAGUUUGUUGGUGGGGUAAUGGCCUACCAAGACUUUGAUCAAUAGCUGAUUUGAGAGGAUGAUCAGCCACAUUGGGACUGAGACACGGCCCAAACUCCUACGGGAGGCAGCAGUAGGGAAUCUUGCACAAUGGAGGAAACUCUGAUGCAGCGAUGCCGCGUGAGUGAAGAAGGCCUUUGGGUUGUAAAGCUCUUUCGUCGGGGAAGAAAAUGACUGUACCCGAAUAAGAAGGUCCGGCUAACUUCGUGCCAGCAGCCGCGGUAAUACGAAGGGACCUAGCGUAGUUCGGAAUUACUGGGCUUAAAGAGUUCGUAGGUGGUUAAAAAAGUUGGUGGUGAAAGCCCAGAGCUUAACUCUGGAACUGCCAUCAAAACUUUUUAGCUAGAGUAUGAUAGAGGAAAGCAGAAUUUCUAGUGUAGAGGUGAAAUUCGUAGAUAUUAGAAAGAAUACCAAUUGCGAAGGCAGCUUUCUGGAUCAUUACUGACACUGAGGAACGAAAGCAUGGGUAGCGAAGAGGAUUAGAUACCCUCGUAGUCCAUGCCGUAAACGAUGUGUGUUAGAUGUUGGAAAUUUAUUUUCAGUAUCGCAGCGAAAGCGAUAAACACACCGCCUGGGGAGUACGACCGC
rnacentral:rRNA from 1 species